GUGCUUGCUUCGGCAGCACACAUACUAAAACUGGAACGAUACAGAGAAGAUUAGCAUGGCACCUGUGCAAGGAUGAUACGCAAAUUUGUGAAGUGUUCCAUAUUUAA
rnacentral:snRNA from 1 species